UACGGAGGGAGCUAGCGUUGUUCGGAUAUACUGGGCGUAAAGCGCACGUAGGCGGCGCAGCAAGUCAGGGGUGAAAUCCCGGGGCUCAACCCCGGAACUGCCCUUGAAACUGCAGUGCUAGAAUCUUGGGGGAGGCGAGUGGAAUUCCGAGUGUAGAGGUGAAAUUCGUAGAUAUUCGGAAGAACACCAGUGGCGAAGGCGACUCACUGGACAUGUAUUGACGCUGAGGUGCGAAAGCGUGGGGAGCAAACAGG
rnacentral:rRNA from 1 species